GCCUCUGGGGGAUACAGAUGAAGCAAUUCCCUUUAACAGAAUCAAUUCAGUGUAGAGACAGAGAAAUCAUUGAAGGCCCAACUUUCACUGAAAACAAACUUCAUGUACCAUUUCCAAAAUGAGUGAGCAGGAGGUCUCUUACUCAACUGUGAGAUUUAAAAAGUCUUCAGGGCGGCAGAACCAAGUGAGGCCUGAAGAGACUCAAACGGCCAGAGAAGCUGGCCACACAGAGAGGUCAGUCCCCUGGCAGCUCAUUGUGGUAGCUCUUGUAAUCCUCUGUUCCCUUCGGCUGGUAGCUGUUGGAAUGAUCCUGACAAACAUUUUUCAGUAUGCUCAUGAAAAACAU
rnacentral:lncRNA from 1 species